rnacentral:rRNA from 1 species
UACAGAGGUCUCAAGCGUUGUUCGGAUUCAUUGGGCGUAAAGGGUGCGUAGGCGGUGAGGCAAGUUGGAUGUGAAAUCCCGGGGCUUAACCCCGGAACUGCAUUCAAUACUGCCUUGCUAGAGUACUGGAGAGGAGAUUGGAAUUCACGGUGUAGCAGUGAAAUGCGUAGAUAUCGUGAGGAAGACCAGUGGCGAAGGCGAAUCUCUGGACAGUAACUGACGCUGAGGCACGAAGGCUAGGGGAGCAAACGGG